GGCACUAUUGCCUGGCCUGUAGAGAUCUAGCUAGUACCUGUAGUGUACUAAUAUUAGUAGAUGAAGAUUGUAGAUCUAUAAUAAUAAUACUUAUUUAUAGUAGAAAGUAGAUGUAUAAUGUAUCAAUUCUAUCUAAUCUAAAUCUAGACUUCACUUUCACAUCACACUAUUAUUGAUACAGACAGUGAAUGAAACGAAUGCAGUGAUUAUAGUUUAUACUGAUUAUACUUAUAUUUUAUAGAUCUACCAGUUGAUAAUCAUCAUCAUCAUAGAUAAUAAUCUAGACUAGUAUUCUAGAUCUAUUAAUAAUCAUAGUCACCGUGAUAGUGCCCUUUUUAGUCAAUGUAGUCAAGUCAAGACAGUGGAAUGUAAACUCGAAGGUUCAAUACAAUACAGUAUAAGUAGAGUCUAUGAUUAUUAACAAGUAGAACCAUGGCAACCAGUUCUGAUGAUGUACCAGAAUGGCUCAAGGAUCAUACUUAUACUAUUUCUACUCUCUGGGCAGACAUUAAUAAUAUUGGCAUCCAUUCAAUAUUUAUUUUAUAUUUGGAAAUGCAAGAAAAAGGCAUGCAUUCCUGACAAGUCAAUGAUUGGUUGCACCUCUAAAAGAUAACUUUCUGUUAUGAGAAAAGAUGAGAUUCUUGGACUCCUGCAUAGCACCACCAGAAAGGAAAAUCCCAUCAUGUUGCAAAAUAAAAGUCUUGGACCAAUUUUAAUUUAAGAUAUAUAUAUUAUACUGUAAGCUCUAUACAUAUUUAUGUGUAUCCUGUCAUUCAGCAAACAGGUUUGGAUUUAGUAUUUCUUUAAAUCUGUUAGAUAUUGUACUUGAAAACUAUUAUUCUGAGCCCCAUUAAAACAAUAGGGAGUGCAGUGAAUGAGUGGUAAAGCACUUGCCCUGAGUCCACCUAACUCUAAUGGGUAGCUGACUUUCGUUUUGGAAAAGUAAAAGAUGGUUGGUUGUUGUGCUGGCCACAUGAUGCACUGGCCAAAGAAUCAAAUGACCUUUACAUCAUCUGCCCUAUAGAUUGUGAGGUCUGAAAUGGGAUUUUUUUUCAAAAGGUGGUUGGUUGUUGUCCUGGGUACAUGACACCCUCGCUAACCAUGGGGCACAGAAACUGAUAAACGUUAUAUCAUUUGCCCCAUAGAUUGCAAGAUAUGUAAGGGAAAUUUUACUUUUUUAAAAUUAAAAUAAGAAUCUAACAAAAGUAAACAUAUAAAAUAUGGUGCAUUCUCCUUAAAACUAAAACCUGGUGCGAAGGUUUAAAAUGUUGGCAAAAAAAAGCAACAUCAUAUAUUCUUAAUUCCCUUUGCAAAACUUACUGAGAAGAACAUGCAUGUUGUUCCCUAAUAAGUUUCUUGACAGAGGAAAUCUUGUUUAUAUUAGAUUUGAAUUAAGCAAAUUAAGAAAAAAAUUAUAAUCAUUAUUUCAAAUGGUUGUAUCUAAACCUUAUGAAUUAUUUUUCAGUUAUAGGUAUAUUGAGAUGAAUGGAUAAUCAUGAAAUUGUUAAAUAAUUGCUGCUAUCAUUCCAUUGACUUAAGAACCAUACCAUAAUUUUAUUUUUUUAAAAAUUAAUUUCAAAAGGAUUUUUUUCAAGCAUAGAGUUCACAUAGAUCUUGAGUGAAAUUUUUUUUUUUUUACUAAUGCUUCAAUUUUAGUGUAUCAUAUUAGUUUUUAAUUUUUAUUACCCGAAUAUUUAAAAAAUGAGUACACUAUUUUCAUGUAAUAAUGUAACUUGGUAUUCACACAAUGCUCAAAAUACGCUAUAAUCUUUAGGCCAUACAGAUUUGUAUAAAUUAACUUGUUUAAAUACAUUGUAAAUGUAUAUUGUUUGGAUAAGAAUAAAAUUUUUCUGUAGACAAUUAUUGUUCAAGAUUUGUUGAUGCUCCUGCUUAAUCAAUUAUAUAUACAGGUCAUUAGUUUUGACACGUCUGAUAAUAAAUGACAAUACAAGUUAGUGAAUGAAUAUUUGUCAUUAUUUCAGCUGCUUUAGGCCUACAUCAAUGUGAGGUACCAGUACUUUGAUUGUGUCAUAUAACAAUUUAAAGCAACAUUUUGAAAUGAAUAGUCUGUAGAAUUGACAGUAAAUACAUUUAAGUGAUGGGCUGUGAUCUGUGU